AUCCCAGUUCGGAUCGCAGGCUGCAACCCGCCUGCGUGAAGUUGGAAUCGCUAGUAAUCGCGGAUCAGCAUGCCGCGGUGAAUACGUUCCCGGGCCUUGUACACACCGCCCGUCACACCAUGAGAGUCGGGAACACCCGAAGUCCGUAGCUUAACCGCAAGGGGGGCGCGGCCGAAGGUGGGUUCGAUAAUUGGGGUGAAGUCGUAACAAGGUACC
rnacentral:rRNA from 1 species